rnacentral:rRNA from 1 species
AUUGAACGCUGGCGGCAGGCCUAACACAUGCAAGUCGAACGAGUGGCGGACGGGUGAGUAAUGUCUUGGAAACUGCCUGAUGGAGGGGGAUAACUACUGGAAACGGUAGAUAAUACCGCAUAACGUCGGAUGUGCCCAGAUGGGAGUAGCUAGUCGGUGGGGUAAAGGCUCACCUAGGCGACGAUCCCUAGCUGGUCUGAGAGGAUUACCGGCCACACUGGAACUGAGACACGGUCCAGACUCCUCCGGGAGGCAGCAGUGGGGAAUAUUGCACAAUGGGCGAAAGCCUGAUGCAGCCAUGCCGCGUGGAUGAAGAAGGCCUUCGGGUUGUAAAGUACUUUCAGCGGAGAGGCGUUACCCGCAGAAGAAGCACCGGCUAACUCCGUGCCAGCAGCCGCGGUAAUAC